rnacentral:rRNA from 1 species
GACGAACGCUGGCGGCGUGCUUAACACAUGCAAGUCGAACGGAAACGCCCUGCUUUUGUGGGGUGCUCGAGUGGCGAACGGGUGAGUAACACGUGAGCAACCUGCCCUUGACUUUGGGAUAACUUCAGGAAACUGGGGCUAAUACCGGAUAGGAGCCCCUGCUGCAUGGUGGGGGUUGGAAAGUUUCGGCGGUUGGGGAUGGAUUCGCGGCUUACCAGCUUGUUGGUGGGGUAGUGGCUUACCCAGGCUUUGACGGGUAGCCGGCCUGGGAGGGUGACCGGCCACAUUGGGACUGAGAUACGGCCCAGACUCCUACGGGAGGCAGCAGUGGGGAGUAUUGCACAAUGGGCGGAAGCCUGAUGCAGCAACGCCGCGUUCGGGAUGACGGCCUUCGGGUUGUAAACCGCUUUCGCCUGUGACGAAGCGUGAGUGACGGUAAUGGGUAAAGAAGCACCGGCUAACUACGUG